rnacentral:lncRNA from 1 species
CUGAGUUUUGAGCUGGCACCCAGUCAACUUUAUAACUGGAAACCAAGACACUUUUUUUUUUUUUGGGAGCAAAUUACAUAUUUCCUAAGAGUAAUAACAGCACAUAUACAUUUGAGGAUCCUGAAUCUGAGAAGGGUCUUAUUUUUCUAGAUAAUUGAGAUGGUUGAUUCUUGCAAAUCCAGUGUCUUCUCUCUUCUUCUUUUCCUACUGUUCUUUGCUGGAGGGCUAUCAGCUCCAGCCUCCAGAGGGAAAUUCAAGAUUGCUUUGCGACCCCUCAUCCGGAAGGCAGCAGAAUCAUAAGCUUUAGCAGCAUCAACAUCACUAUCAAAAGUUCCCAACCAAACCCUGCUGCCCUUUCUUGCCGGGUCCCGGAUUUCAGCCGCAUACUUGCCCCACGGCCUUCUUCUUACUCCCCUGUAAUGCUUCCUCUCUUCAGUGUCCGCCAGCUUCGGCUCCGAACUCUUUUGAGGUGAUUCUGUCCAAUUACUGGAACCCAAACACGUUAUGUCCAAUGGUUCAGGUUUUAUU